GUUUGGGGACCCCUGGUGUAUACCCACCGACCACUUGGCUACAUAGCGAAAGAUGAGGCACUACAACAACAGUGGGACGAAGCCGGAGUACCUGGAGGGAACCCACGCAGUCACGGGGAGAACAUGCAAACUCCACACAGAAAGACCCGAGCCCGGGAUCAAACCCAGGACCUUCUUAUUAUCUGCUGGGUUUACUUUUGGCAGUGAGGGCCAAGCAGACUGACUCCAUUAACAGCAAGGAUCCUGUCUCCUGGUUUCAGCUUGUCGCAGCGGGCUGCAGGAGUGUCUGGGACCACCGCCCUGAUGAAGAUACCUUUCACCUUCGAUGGGAGAUCCUGGAACAUGAGGUCAUGUUGUGAACAACACUCUUAAGGGUAAUGUCCUUAUACUGUCCUGUAUAGCCAGCUGCAAUGCACUCAAUGAUCAAGGUCCAGAUGCAUCGUUAGUACCAGGACAUUCAAACACGGCCGAUAUACGCGCAGCCCCCUUCUUAUGUGGUCACACUCACAAGACACAUUGUGCAUUUUGAUUUUUGAUACUUAAUUUAAAGUGGCAUCAUGAUCCUUUUAUCCUCAUCUCAAUGGAUGUUUGCAGGUGUCUCAA